CCCCUGUGGCAGCCUCUGGCACAGCUGCAGCAAGGGAGAAGUCUGCUUUUUACACCAUCCUGGUUACUGCAGAGCUGCUCUUUUGCUCAGGCUGUGCAGGCAAGGUCGGA
ensembl:miRNA